rnacentral:rRNA from 1 species
AAUCAACGCUGGCGGCGUGCCUCAGACAUGCAAGUCGAACGCGAAAGGCCCCUUCGGGGGCCCGGUAGAGUGGCGCACGGGUGAGUAACACGUAGGUAAUUUGCCUUCGGGUGGGGAAUAACAGCCGGAAACGGCUGCUAAUACCGCAUAAUGCAGCGGCUCGACAUCGAGACAGUUGUUAAAGCGGGGGAUCGCAAGACCUCGCGCCUGAAGAGAAGCCUGCGGCAGAUAGCUUGUUGGUGAGGUAAUGGCUCACCAAGGCGACGAUCUGUAACCGGCCUGAGAGGGCGGUCGGUCACACUGACACUGACAUACGGGUCAGACUCCUACGGGAGGCAGCAGUCGGGAAUUUUGGGCAAUGGGCGAAAGCCUGACCCAGC